rnacentral:misc_RNA from 1 species
UCUCCGUUGGUGAACCAGCGGAGGGAUCAUUGCAGAGUUGAGAGACUCCAAACCAUCGCGAACCUACCACUACGUUGCCUCGGCGGGCAGCUCCAGGGCGGAGCCGCCAGCCCCCCUCGGGGGGGUGCCCGCCGAAGGGCCCCAAACCAUGUCGUAUCUAGGCUGCUCUAAGUACCUGCGAACGCAGUUAAAACUUUCAACAAUGGAUCUCUUGGCUCUGGCAUCGAUGAAGAACGCAGC